rnacentral:lncRNA from 1 species
AUGCUCAUAGAUCACAGUGUGAAUACUAACUUGCUGCACUCGGCUUGGCAGUGCUGCACGUUCCCUAAGGCCAGUUGCUCCCGAGUGAGUAGAAUGGCCUCACACUUCCAUGUUCAUAUCUGUUCCCAAAGUGGACAACAUCCUUGCCUUCCCUUCACUGACGGAAAAACUGAAACCUCGAACUGCUUGCUCAGCAUUACACUUUAA